CCUACGGGGCGCAGCAGUCGAGAAUCAUUCACAAUGGGGGAAACCCUGAUGGUGCGACGCCGCGUGGGGGAAUGAAGGUCUUCGGAUUGUAAACCCCUGUCAUGUGGGAGCAAAUUAAAAAGAUAGUACCCCCAGAUGAAGAGACGGCUAACUCUGUGCCGGCAGCCGCGGUACUACAGAGGUCUCAAGCGUUGUUCGGAAUCACUGGGCGUAAAGCGUGCGUAGGCUGUUUCGUAAGUCGUGUGUGAAAGGCGCGGGCUCAACCCGCGGACGGCACAUGAUACUGCGAGACUAGGGUAAUGGAGGGGGAACCGGAAUUCUCGGUGUAGCAGUGAAAUGCGUAGAUAUCGAGAGGAACACUCGUGGCGAAGGCGGGUUCCUGGACAUUAACUGACGCUGAGGCACGAAGGCCAGGGGAGCGAAAGGGAUUAGAUACCCUUGUAGUC
rnacentral:rRNA from 1 species